rnacentral:lncRNA from 1 species
UGGGAAAAAGGAGAGAAACCAAGCAAAAGAGAGGUAGCUACGGGCUGAGGAAAAAGGGUUUUGGGGGCUAACAAAAACGAAAAAACUGUAAAAAGGGAAGCUACGGGAAACAAAGGGGGAACAAAGGAAGCCGAGAGAGGGUUUUGAGAAAAGAGGGAACCGAGGGAAGAAAAAAAGAGAGGGCUUCGGAGGGGAAGAGAUAGAGAGGAACCAAGAGUGAGAGAUAGAGGAAGGGUGGCUGAGCAAGCAAGGGAGAGGAAAAUAAGAACAAGGGAGGAUCUGGGGAGAUCAAACAAAGAAAAAACCUGAAAGAAAGGGAGAGGACCUUCGGGGACAAACAGAAAACUGAAAAGAGGAGAAGAGAAAUAAAGCAAAGAAGAAAAUACUCCUCAAAUUCUGGUGGAUUCUAGUCAUCUUCUUGCGGAUUCCUAUCAAGGAUUUAGUUCCAACAGCAGCAAAACAGGUAACCCUCAACCUGUUUCUUGUUCAUUUCAAUUCAUUUUAUGAUUUGGGCCUGAUGUCUUGAAGAUCUGGAGUUUGAGGUUUCAGCAAGUAUUCAUGUCACUUUGUUGCGUUGCUUUGUUGAAUCUUAUGGGAAUAUCUAAGUUAAACAUAUCCAGUUUUAUGUUACUUUGCAUGAACACCUCUAGGCUGAAUAAGGAAGAAAAAAAACUACAUAAAAAUUAUUGUAGCCGUGCAGACAGAUCUUUGUUUUCUUUGGUUGCUGAAGUUUUGGCUUGUUUGACGUUUCCUGGUUGGCGUGCUGUUUGACUGGGAUGCCAUGAACAUGUUUGCUAUCAAAGCUGUGUUUAGAAUCUUCUUGUUGGAACUUAGGGACAAAAGCCAUUAGCUUUCUUUCAUGCAUGAAACUAAAGGGAUGAGAAUCAUGAGUUUGAUGUCUUAUCGUCUGGUGCAUUUCUCUGGUUCGAGUCUUAGGUUUUUUUUUUUUUUUUUUUUUUUUUUGAAGAUUUGGGUGGAAGUUUAGUAAAUGUUCAGGUCACUUUGUUGCAUUUUAUGUCCAAAAGCUUGUUGGAUCUUUCCUCUCUCCCUUGUCUCGCAUUUCGUGGUUGAAUAAGUUAGGAUUUGCUUGAGUCACUUUGCAUCAAUAUGUUUCAGCUGAAUGAGAACAAGUCGCAGCAAGAGUGGGCUGGUUUGCAGUUGCAGAUGUGUUUCUCCACUUCUUCGUUGAUUACUUGCAUGUCCCUGUUUUUGUCCAUCUUGUUCUCCUUGCUUGCAUUUGUCUGCUUGGAAGUUUGUCAUUUGGUUUAUGAUUGUUUCAUCAUGUUAGUUUCCAGUUCUCCAAGUGUAUGAAUCAAAAAUUGUUGUUUCCUCGCAUUUCACUUGCAUUUUUACAGUCCAAAGCUGUUUCAUUGUUGUUGUUUACUUGCGUUUUAGGUAGGGUAGUGUCUGAUGGUUCUUCCUUUUCUUAUCAUUUCAUUCCUAGAAUCUGUUUUCCUUCCCCUAAGAGUGAGGAACCUGUCUGAUGCUUGGUGUUUUUGUCGUGAGAAUGAGUGAUGUUUACAUUGGUUUGUUUCAAACAAAGUUUUGGUUCCUUUCGGCUUCAUGGUAUGGCAACCGCCAUUCAUACAGAAAUUCUGUUUUGCUGACUUGCUGCGCCUAAGGAAAACCCAAGAAGUUACAACAAAGCUUCGAUUAGGCUGCAUGGAAUUUUUGUGAAAAUGCAUAUUUUUGGCCCCUCUCUAUCCUAGAUUUCCUUGGUUGCAUGUUCAAUUGUGUGUUCAUGAUGAAUAUAAUGUAUGUUGGGUUGCAAGUUUCCUGAGUUUGCUGAUAAGAUGCAAAGUUGCAGAACCCAGAAACCAGCGUAGAAGAGGAAAGUUCUCCUAGUAAGCUUGCGCGGGAAUUUCAGAAAAAUUACAUUCUAACCCUUCAAGUUUCCCCUUGUUUCAUUAUGGCCCAAAAUUUGGAAAGUUAAUCAAUUUUGUCCUUUUAAAAUGCUAUUUUUCUUUGGUAUGUUCUAAUAUGAUUGUUUAGAUAGAUUAUUUUAGGAUGAAUCUUGAGGCUUAAUAAGUUUUGAUAGGUUUCUAGUUUUGAUUUGGAUUUUUAGUGAAAUUUUGGGUAAUUUUGUUGUUUGAUUAUAGCAAAUGAGUUUUCAUUCAUUUCGUGAAUUCUAGCAUUUUAGUUUUGAGUAUGCUUUAUCUUAAGUCCUUAACUUUAUUUUAUUUUAAUUUAGACCCUUAAUAUUUGUAAUAAUAAAGAUUUGACCGCUCAAGCUUCUUUAAUUCUUUCAAUUGGGUCCUCACUUGUUUUAAUUUGUUGAACAGGGGUCGUUUACUUUCAUUUGAAUGAUUUGUUUGAUUCAAUUUCGUAUUUAUUUCCAUUUCUUGUGAUUAUUUAUUAAUUAAAGUGAUGCCUUGACCUUUUAUAUUAUUUUGGAGGGUAAAUAAGAAAAUUUUCAUUCCAUUAGGUCAUCAAUUCAAGGGAGGUAUACUCUACUUCUUUAUUUUGAUUUUAUUUAAUCAUAUGUGCUCUUAUGUGAUUUUAUGUGUGUAAAUUGCAUGAUCCUUGAAUGUUUUUAUUUUAUUUCAUUUAUUUAGUCAUUUUAUUUGUUUUAAUUUUGUGUAUUUAUUUUAAUUUAAUUUUUGAUUAUUUGAAAGGCAUUUCAAUGCCAAAAUUGUAAUAGUUAGGUUAUUAUUUUAUUUUAUUUUAUUACUUCCCCUUUAGAUUGUAGUUAGAGCCUCCAAAUGUAAUAGUUAAGUCUUUAUUUGCUUUACUUGCCUUGUGUGUUUUGUAUGCUUGUGUGUUUACAUGUUACUCACUUUCUUAGGGUCUUACAUCUAGAUAUUAUGCUUGUGUGCUAUGUGUUUUACGUGAUAUUAUGUGUUUAUUUGCUUUAUUAUGUUUUAUACGAUUUAUUUGAUUAUAAUAAAGGCAUGACGUCACCACACUAGUCCAACGCUAGUUGUGGCCCCUUCUUCGAUUCUACACUAGUCCAACGCUAGUUGUGACCCUCUUUUUCGAUUGCUCAUUAGUCCAAUACUUGUGAGAAUUUAUAGAUAUGGGCUAAUCCAACGCUAGACCCUUAGCGACCAUCCACGCGUUAGAUCGUGUUUGUAUGACAAUCACUAUAUUUCAUGCAUAUUUUUCUACUUUUUAAGAUCCUUACCAUUUUUGCAUGGUAUUUCCCCCUACAUAUAUAUCCCGUAUCCCAUAUUUCCCUUAUACAUAUAUCCCUUAUCCCCAUGUACGAAACAUGACUUUUUUGACGUGCAUUCCAUUUUAAAAAAUUAGAGUUAGGUUAGAUCAUUUGCAUGAUUAGAUAGGAAUAAUGCCUUGAAUGUGGGAUAUGGAUGAGUAUGGCUCUCUAGUCUUACCACGCUCGUAUUCCCUUUAUUAAAGGGAAAAAUUAAAGUCACGAAUUUUAGCCCCCCGCACCCGUUAUGAUGCAUUCCUUUAGGUCAUGUAUAUUGGUAUUAUUUUCUUUUCUUUUCUUCGAGUCUCAUAUUUUGCAUAUUCAUGACCUCUUCAAAGAGUCACUCUUGGAAAUCACAAUUAAUGUGAUUUGCACCAAUUAAAUUUUGAAUAGAUAUUCCGACCUCCUCGAUAUCCUUCAAGGUUUUAGGUUUUGCAUCCAUAUAGUGACAUCCAAAUGUGAUAAAUUUUUAGAUUAAAAUAAGAAAAUUUUUUAACUGGAUCAUGCAACUAACUUUGGUUAGGUUGAAAAGGUGCCUUGAAUUUUAUCAUUGCCUUCCCUUUCUUCAAAUGUGAUUCCCGACCCUUUUUCUCUGAUUUUCGAAGACUUGAAUUCGUUUAAAAAGGGUUUUUCUCUACUUUGUUGUUUAAAAUUCAUUUUAGGAGACUUGGUACACCUUAACUCAAUACCAAGUGGCGACUCCUAUUUUUUCUUAAAAAAUACUUUUUAAACUUUUAAUUUGAGCCAAAAUCGUCGCACUUUCUAAUCCCAUUCUAGGCCCGAUUUCUUUAUUUAUUUUCUAAAAAUGAAAACUCAUUUUUUCAAAUAAAAAAUUAAUCAAAAUUCAUUUUUAUAAACACGUUACUUUUCAUUAAAAAGGGGCGCGACAGUUUGGCGACUCUACUGGGGACUUAGAAAGUCUGAGCAUUUGAUUUAAUCAAUCCUUUUCUUCUUUUAGCCUUUUUAUAUAUCACAUUUGGAGGUUUAGGGUUGUAUUUUUUCCUUUUUUAGGGUUUUCUUGCAUUUCACAAAUGCAAUUGUCUCGAUAUCCGUGUAUGUGAAUAAUGUGUUUAUCUCUUUCAUUUACUUAUGUUUAAUCGCGCUUGCAUUUUAGGGAAGGGGGGUAGCCACCCUAGAGCUUUCAUCCACAUUUUAUGGUAUUUGAUCCUUCCUUUCAAAAGGAGCACCUCAUACGUGCAUACGUUUUACUUUAUAAACCCCUCAUUUCUUUUUACUUUUAGUGGUUGUCAUACCACUCUACCCCGUUAGGAUUAGGAUCGAUCCACUUGGACAUCUGGCUGUGGCACGACGUGUGCGUAGCAAUGUCCGAGGGAUCACUCGAACGACUGACUCUUAGGUAUGGGGAUUCCUUCGCCUUUAGUUUGAAGAUUUGGGAGCCUGAAAACCUUAUCGAGUCUAGAUGCAUUAGUGAGUCCAACCUCAUGCAUCCAUAUUAGAAAUCGCCUAAGAUAGAGUCGACCAUACCCAACUAGGAAUACUAGACACGAAGGGAGAGAUCCCACCCCUCUUUCCUUAUUUUUCUUUCUUUUCGCCUUUUGUAUUAUCUAAUUGCCAAAUAUGUUAUUUGUUGAGCUAACAUUGCCUUAUUUUCUCGUCUAGUGCAUUCACAAGUAUUAGAAAAUAAGAGUUUUGGUGUGAUACUCUUUUAGAACCCACCUUCUUAGAUAGGUUAUUGCACAUUUAAAUUCCAACGUAUUGCAUUCGUAGGUUAAUAAUUGCACAUCAUUUUAGGCUCAUCCUGGCAUACGAAGGGUCCCUGAGGUCAUGUUUCAUUUCGAAUUACAUAUUUAAAUUGUUUUAAAAAUUGACAUCAUGCAUAAGCUUUAGAGGAAAUGUCAUUUAGGGAAUCCCAUGUUAAGAAUAAGCCAACCCUAUAUUCCCAAGGGUAUUUAACCCUAUUUUGGGAUUUGCACGUUUGAAUUCUUGUUUAACGGGAAAAGUGGGACCUGUAGGUAAGGUACUUGACACCAAAUUUCUUGUUUUUAGAUGGAAUACCCUCGACGAGUCCAACAAAUGUUAGUAGUGCCGAUUGAGGUACAGAGGUGGCCCACAUUGCUUUCACCUAGUGAGAUUAAC